AGAGUUUGAUCCUGGCUCAGGACGAACGCUGGCGGCGUGCUUAACACAUGCAAGUCGAACGGUGAACCGGGCUUCGGCCCGGGGAUCAGUGGCGAACGGGUGCGUAACACGUGGGCAACCUGCCCCAGACACUGGGAUAACUCCGGGAAACCGGGGCUAAUACCGGAUACUCCGGUCGAACCUCAUGGUUCGAUCGGGAGAGCUCCGACGGUCUGGGAUGGGCCCGCGGCCUAUCAGCUUGUUGGCGAGGUAACGGCUCACCAAGGCGACGACGGGUAGCUGGUCUGAGAGGACGACCAGCCACACUGGAACUGAGAUACGGUCCAGACUCCUACGGGAGGCAGCAGUGGGGAAUCUUGCACAAUGGGCGAAAGCCUGAUGCAGCGACGCCGCGUGGGGGACGAAUGCCUUCGGGUUGUAAACCCCUUUCGGCAGGGAAGAAGCGCAAGUGACGGUACCUGCAGAAGAAGUCCCGGCUAACUACGUGCCAGCAGCCGCGGUA
rnacentral:rRNA from 1 species